rnacentral:rRNA from 1 species
ACGCCCAACAGCUAGCCCACCUAAACAAUUUCAACAAACCCCUGUUAAUACCCCCUAAAUACCCUAGUAUUUAAAUUAAACAAACCAUUUUUCCCCCUUAGUAUAGGCGAUAGAAAAGGGACCACGGCGCAAUAGAGAAAGUACCGCAAGGGAACGCUGAAAGAGAAGUGAAAUAACCCAGUAAAGCCUGAAAAAGCAGAGAUUUAAACUCGUACCUUUUGCAUCAUGAUUUAGCGAGUGUACCUCAAGCAAAGAGCACUUUAGUUUGACGUCCCGAAACUACGUGAGCUACUCCAAGACAGCCUAUUAAUAGGGCGCACCCGUCUCUGUGGCAAAAGAGUGGGGAGAGCUUUGAGUAGAGGUGACAAACCUACCGAACC